AUUGAACGCUGGCGGCAGGCCUAACACAUGCAAGUCGAGCGGAUGAGUGGAGCUUGCUCCAUGAUUCAGCGGCGGACGGGUGAGUAAUGCCUAGGAAUCUGCCUGGUAGUGGAGGACAACGUUUCGAAAGGAACGCUAAUACCGCAUACGUCCUACGGGAGAAAGUGGGGGAUCUUCGGACCUCACGCUAUCAGAUGAGCCUAGGUCGGAUUAGCUAGUUGGUGAGGUAAAGGCUCACCAAGGCGACGAUCCGUAACUGGUCUGAGAGGAUGAUCAGUCACACUGGAACUGGGACAGGGUCCAGACUCCUACGGGGGGCAGCAGUGGGGAAUAUUGGACAAUGGGCGAAAGCCUGAUCCAGCCAUGCCGCGUGUGUGAAGAAGGUCUUCGGAUUGUAAAGCACUUUAAGUUGGGAGGAAGGGCAGUAAGUUAAUACCUUGCUGUUUUGACGUUACCAACAGAAUAAGCACCGGCUAACUUCGUGCCAGCAGCCGCCGUAAGAC
rnacentral:rRNA from 1 species